rnacentral:misc_RNA from 1 species
AUCGACACUUUGAACGCAUAUUGCAGGUUUGUGCUUGUAACAAACCUACCCUUUUGUCAGGGUCGGUUAUACUACAUCCAUCAAGGUAUUCUUAUGAAUCCUGCCAUGUCCCGGUCGGUAGCUUCUCGCUAGCGCUGGUCUAAAAUGUAACCCUGCAGUGCUUUGGCCUGCGUCAACUCUAGGGAUUUUCUCCCCGGUUGGUUGCUGUGCUACCUGCUCACGGGUUCAGGUGUGUGGGGAGCUGAUUGUGAAUCAUCCCCUAGCGUCACCGAUCAUUUAAUUUUCGACCUGACAUAAAGGGAGGC